AUUUGAUGAUGUGGACAUUAUAUUUGUAACUACCCAAAUCUUUCCCAAGCUUCGAAGAAUUCCUCCGUAAGAUUUUGUUUAAAAGUUUGGAUCUUGUUCCUUAACU
rnacentral:snoRNA from 1 species